CAUUCUGUUUUCCGAAGAGAGAUGUGAACUUUAAGGCCUCUGCAGUUGACCGCCAAAGUGAUGAUGUGGUUGUCGCCACAACACCCGUUCCCCACAACCAGACCACAUCUGCCCAUACUGAAGCUGGUGGUGGUGCAAGUGAAGAUGCUGUGGCUACUACCCCAGCACCUAAUCCACACAACCAGACAACUUCUGAAGUUACUGAUGGAGCCAGUGAAGAUGCUGUGGACCGCCAAAGUGAUGAUGUGGUUGUUGCCACAACACCCGAUCCCCACAACCAGACCACAUCUGCCCAUACUGAAGCUGGUGGUGGUGCAAGUGAAGAUGCUGUGGCUACUACCCCAGCACCUAAUCCACACAACCAGACAACUUCUGAAGUUACUGGUAGGGUUUCUCUUUAGUUUUUGUGUGGUUCUCUGCAAGUUUGUUUUUUGUAUAAAAUGUGUAAGUGUGUCCUUUGGCUUCUCUUUGGCCCCCUCACUCAUGUGGAAUCCCAAGAUGGAGCCAGUGAAGAUGCUGUGGACCGCCAAAGUGAUGAUGUGGUUGUCGCCACAACACCCGAUCCCCACAACCAGACCACAUCUGCCCAUACUGAAGCUGGUGGUGGUGCAAGUGAAGAUGCUGUGGCUACUACCCCAGCACCUAAUCCACACAACCAGACAACUUCUGAAGUUACUGAUGGAGCCAGUGAAGAUGCUGUGGACCGCCAAAGUGAUGAUGUGGUUGUCGCCACAACACCCGAUCCCCACAACCAGACCACAUCUGCCCAUACUGAAGCUGGUGAUGGAGCAAGUGAAGAUGCUGUGGCUACCACCCCAGCACCAAAUCCCCCAACUACAUCUGACCACACUGCAGCUACCGAUGAUGCAAGUGAGGGUGCUGUGGAUGCCCAAACUGGAACUACUGUAUCCCAUACGACUGAAGUCUGAUUCGACUGCUCCUCUGGUCACAAUGACCUGAGACACUGUCUGGACUUUUUGCCUCUACAUGUUGACUGCAAUAAAGGACAGAUUUGUUUUUUUAAUCA
rnacentral:lncRNA from 1 species